CGGAGGGUGCAAGCGUUGUCCGGAUUUAUUGGGUUUAAAGGGUGCGUAGGCGGCCUUAUAAGUCAGUGGUGAAAGCCCACAGCUCAACUGUGGAACUGCCAUUGAUACUGUAAGGCUUGAGUACAGACGAGGUAGGCGGAAUUGAUGGUGUAGCGGUGAAAUGCAUAGAUACCAUCAAGAACACCGAUUGCGAAGGCAGCUUACUAGGCUGUAACUGACGCUGAGGCACGAAAGCGUGGGGAGCGAACAGGAUUAGAUACCCUGGUAGUCCACGCUGUAAACGAUGAUUACUCGAUGUUGGCGAUACACAGCCAGCGUCUUUGCGAAAGCGUUAAGUAAUCCACCUGGGGAGUACGCCCGCAAGGGUG
rnacentral:rRNA from 1 species